AUUGAACGCUGGCGGCAUGCUUUACACAUGCAAGUCGAACGGCAGCGCGGGGCAACCUGGCGGCGAGUGGCGAACGGGUGAGUAAUACAUCGGAACGUACCCAGAAGUGGGGGAUAACGUAGCGAAAGUUACGCUAAUACCGCAUACGUUCUACGGAAGAAAGUGGGGGACCUUCGGGCCUCAUGCUUUUGGAGCGGCCGAUGUCUGAUUAGCUAGUUGGUGAGGUAAAGGCUCACCAAGGCGACGAUCAGUAGCUGGCCUGAGAGGACGACCAGCCACACUGGGACUGAGACACGGCCCAGACUCCUACGGGAGGCAGCAGUGGGGAAUUUUGGACAAUGGGCGCAAGCCUGAUCCAGCAAUGCCGCGUGAGUGAAGAAGGCCUUCGGGUUGUAAAGCUCUUUUGUCAGGGAAGAAACGGCUGAGGAUAAUACCUUCGGCUAAUGACGGUACCUGAAGAAUAAGCACCGGCUAACUACGUG
rnacentral:rRNA from 1 species